ACGUAGGGUGCAAGCGUUAAUCGGAAUUACUGGCCGUAAAGCGUGCGCAGGCGGUUAUGUAAGACAGAGGUGAAAUCCCCGGGCUCAACCUGGGAACUGCCUUUGUGACUGCAUAGCUAGAGUACGGUAGAGGGGGAUGGAAUUCCGCGUGUAGCAGUGAAAUGCGUAGAUAUGCGGAGGAACACCGAUGGCGAAGGCAAUCCCCUGGGCCUGCACUGACGCUCAUGCACGAAAGCGUGGGGAGCAAACAGGAUUAGAUACCCUGGUAGUCCACGCCCUAAACUAUGUCAACUGGUUGUUGGGAGGGUUUCUUCUCAGUAACGUAGCUAACGCGUGAAGUUGACCGCCUGGGGAGUACGGCCGCAAGGUUG
rnacentral:rRNA from 1 species